AAGGCUUUUUCUUUUAAUAAAAGCAACCCCCAAACCAUUUCUUUUUUGUGAGAUGGAGCCUCACUCUGUCACCCAGGCUACAGUGCAAUGGCGCAAUCUCAGCUCACUGUAACCUCUGCCUCCCUGGUUCAAUUGAUUCUCCUGCCUCAGCCUCCCGAGUAGCUAGAAUUACAAGCACAUGCCACAAAUCCUGGCUAAUUUUUAUGUAUUUUUAGUAGAGAUGGGGUUUCACCACUUUAGCAAGGCUGAUUUCAAACUCCUGACCUCAAGUGAUCUGCCUGCAUCCACCUCCCAAAGUGCUGGGAUUACAGGCAUGAGCCACUGCACCCAGCCAACCCAUUUCUUUUCUAACAGAAAGGCAGAUUAAAGGGCUAAGCUGGCAAGUUUUGAUAUGCAAAUGCCAGCCAUUAGAAACUAGGUCUAUCCAAUAUGGUGAUUUCCGCCUUCUUCUAGUCACCAGGUAUGCCAAGUGUCAUGGCUGCCUCCAGAUAACACCAUGUGCUCACGACAUCAUGACACCCCACAUUUGCACGGAGACCAGGUGGCUGCACCAGGAGGGCCUGUCUCCUGGGGGUGACAAGUCAGGCCGAGAGAGAGGACAACGGCAGUGGGACCCUGAGACAGACAAGACAGACAUAGACUUUAUGGGCUCCGAUGUGCGGCGUUACUCAGGCCAAUGUCCUGUUGGAUGAGAAGGGGCAUUACAGGGAGUCAGAUUUCUGCUCUCUACAAAGAAGGACUUUCUGGCCAGAAUAAAAGGGGAUGCCUGCAGAAGCGGAGGGGGAUAGCACCAACUCAUCACACCUCUGCUGGAAUGGUGGACAGCAGGGUGCAGGCUUCCAGAAGCGGGGCGACAGAGCAGACAGGCCUCCACACUCAUGGCCUUCCCUGCAAGUCCGUGGCUCUGAUUCACUCAAAUAGUAUUGAGUAUGCUUUUUCUUUAGCUUUUUCUCAAGGUGACAAGAAUGGGGGUUUUGAAGAGUAGUUUGAGAGGAUGGAUUUAAAAGUUAAACUUUUGAAAAGAUUUGCCAGGCCAGGUGUGGCUCAUGCCUAUAAUCCCAGCACUUUGCGAGGUUGAGGCAGGUGGAUCACUUGGGGUCAGGAGUUCGAGACCAGCCUGGCCAACAUAGUGAAACCUCGUCUCUACCUUAAGCCCCCUCAGCCAGGCAUGGUGGUGCGUGCCUGUAAUACAGCUACUCGGAAGGCUGAGGCAGGAGAAUUGCUUGAACCUGGGAGGCAGAGGUUGCAGUGAGCCGAGAUCGCAUCAUUGCACUCCCGCCUGAGUGAAAGAGUGAGACCCUGCCCCCCGCCCCCCCCCCCACACAUGAUUUACCAGCUAGGUAAAUCUACCAUGGCUUUAUUCCCCUUCACAGUCACUAUCUAUUUGGUAGUAACACAAACUUUUAGCUUAGAAGGAAACAUGUGAACUUUCAUAUUAACUCUCUUUAA